rnacentral:tRNA from 1 species
GGGCAAUUGGCUCAGUGGUAGAGCGUCUCGUUUACACCGAGAAGGUCGUAGGUCCGAUCCCUACAUUGCCCA